UACGGGGGGGGGUAAGCGUUGUUCGGAAUUACUGGGCGUAAAGGGCUCGUAGGCGGCCAACUAAGUCGGAUGUGAAAUCCCCAGGCUUAACCUGGGAACUGCAUUCGAGACUGCAUUGCUAGAGUAUGGGAGAGGGAAGUGGAAUUUCCGGUGUAGCGGUGAAAUGCGUAGAUAUCGGAAGGAACAUCAGUGGCGAAAGCGACUUCCUGGACCAAUACUGACGCUCAUGUGCGAAAGCGUGGGGAGCAAACAGG
rnacentral:rRNA from 1 species